rnacentral:rRNA from 1 species
GUUUGAUCCUGGCUCAUUGAACGCUGGCGGCAUGCCUUACACAUGCAAGUCGAACGGCAGCACGGGAGCAAUCCUGGUGGCGAGUGGCGAACGGGUGAGUAAUAUAUCGGAACGUGCCCAGUCGUGGGGAUAACGCAGCGAAAGUUGUGCUAAUACCGCAUACGAUCUAUGGAUGAAAGCGGGGGAUCGCAAGACCUCGCGCGAUUGGAGCGGCCGAUAUCAGAUUAGGUUGUUGGUGAGGUAAAAGCUCACCAAGCCUGCGAUCUGUAGCUGGUCUGAGAGGACGACCAGCCACACUGGAACUGAGACACGGUCCAGACUCCUACGGAGGCAGCAGUGGGGAAUUUUUGGACAAUGGACGCAAGUCUGAUCCAGCAAUGCCGCGUGCAGGACGAAGGCCUCGGUGUAACUGCUUUGUAC